UUUUUUUUGAGUGAAAAAAAAACGAUUUGUUUUUUACUCCUCGCAUCCAUCUCCUCCUUCCCCGCAAGCGAGCUAGGGUGGAGCCGCCGCCUCUCCGGCGUGCCCGCUGGUGCUCCGUCCACCCCUCUUCUUCAUCUUCUCCCCCAACCCCUACUCCUCCCAGGACCAACCGUGGUGGACGACAUGCCCGCCGGCGCUCCGUCCUCCCCUCUUCUCCAUCUUCUAUCCUCCCCUUCUCCCUCCUCCAUCCCUGUCCAGUCCCCACCUCCCCUCACCCCUACUCCCCACAGGCCCACGAGGAUCGAGCGUGCGCGGGCGGCGUUGGUGGACGAGUUGGGCGAUGUGUGGAGGACCUCAAGUACUGCCUCCCCUGCACCUCAAUCGUCGUCACGGCUACCAACUUCUUUGUCCCCCAAGUACUGGUUUUCAGCAGAUCCGGGCGAGGUAAUUAAAUGAUGUUGGAGGUUGUGAUGCAGCACAAGUAGCACAAGUUCAUCAUGUCCACUGCCCUUCAUUGAAUAUCAGGUUCAAUUUUCUUGAUUUUUUACUUGAGCUGUUACUCAUAGCAUUUUUUUAAUCUGGGUAUCAUAGAGUUGGUGUAGUUAAAUGAUGUAAGGGGAUAAGGAACAAAAUUGUGUAAGACGAUACUAACCUGUACUCAUAUUAGUCCAACAUUGUUGGAUAUUGCUUGGAGAUUUGCCCUUUUUAUAAGAAAUCAAAAACAGUCUGUAAUCUGGACGUGUACGAACGUUGCGUGAACAUUUUUCUGUUUAAAUUGGGCGUCCAAUCUCUGUAAGCUGGGUGUUGCCUGUACUUUAUAUUAGUCCAAUGUUUGCCAGUUCCUGGUUGAUUCCCUAUUUGAUGUGAAUCCAUGAACAAAUAAGUUUAUGAACAAGUUCCUGUUUGCUCCCUGUUUGAUUCAAGUCUGAAAGAUUCAUAGAUGCUACACUUCAGUUAUAAAUGCACAAAAAGUUAGGACUGAUAAUAUUAUGAAAGAAAUAUGUUCCAUCCGCCCCUACCCCUUGUAAAUAUAUAUUUAAAUGUGCAUGCCCACUUUGUCGGAACACCGCCCAAUGCUGGAAGACAAUCCGCCGUCCGACGGUGUUGCACAGUUCGCCGCAACUUUGUCGGCUGGUUCUUCACUUGAGGUAUGUAGACAAGGAGUAUUGAAAUUAUGGUCUUUUGUUUUCUGCAACCUAACGUUCAUUGCUUCAGAUGUGUCUUUGGUCUUAUUUUACUACUGGUUGUGAUUGUGGUACAUAACACUGAUGUUGAAAGCGUGGAUCAGGUCCUAUAUUAGCUAUCUUUGAUUUACAUCCAAAGUUCAGUUAUAAUUAUAGGCUGGAAACUUUAUAUUAUUUUGCUAUCUUAUUUCGUUUGUGAAAGUAGCUGCAACAAGUAGCAGUUUGAAUUGAUGCAAUCAAGUAAGCAAGGCUUUGAUUGUAAAAUUUGUGUGUUGGCAUAGGCUGAAGCAAGCACCUUUACUAUCUGUAUUUGUCUGAAUCUUUUUGUGUUGUCAUAGGCUGAAUCAGUAGUUGGUGCAGCUAGCUGCAGCAAGCACCAGCUUAACUUAAUGCUAGCAUUUACUUGAAGCCUUGAUAUGCUCUUGCCGACUGGGUAAACUAGCACAUCUUCGAUCUGUAUGCUUGAAUCUUUAGUUUGUGCAGCUAGCCACUAGCAAGUAAUUAAAGCCUUGAUCUGCUCUUGCCGACAAAAUAAUCUUGGAAGAAGCAUCUAGAUCACUCCACUAUGGGCCCAUCCAGUAGCUUUUCAAGAUUAUCUGUCACUCCACUAUUUACUGUAUUGUUAUAACUGUUCCCUAUUUGAUUGAACUCCGUGUUGAUUGCAUCUUUGGAAAAUCUGGAAUAUUGUUUGAACAAGGUAAUUGUUGGAGUUUUAACUUCAAUUUUUGUUGUCGUUACACAAAAUGUCGCCUCCGCCGACUUUGCUGGAAGACCAUCAGCCAUCGCCUAGACCGACUUCGCUGAAGGUAUCUCUUUUUCUUUGUGUAAAUUAUGAUGGAGCUAUGUUUACAGUGAUUUACAGCCAGGGUUUACUGAUGUUUAAACUAGAAAAAUUGAUUUGAGAAAGUAUUUAACGCAAUUGGUCUAUUGCCAUAGGCUCAAGCAAAGCACCUCUUCGAUCUGUACGAUUUGCCCUCUUGUUUCCUUUAUCAAACUAUCUGCAGCAAGUAGAAAUCUGAAUUGAUGCAAGCAAGUAGUAACCAUUAUGGCGGCAAUAUAUGUGAACAGAAAAAUGGUGACCUUUUGAAACAAUUAUAUGGUUCCAUAUAUCCAAAGGAAUUGACGCCAAUUAUUAUCCUGGAAAAGAGUGUUACCUGGCAUAGUGCUUCUUGCUGUACAAAUAUCCGAAUAUUAUAUUUUACACAUGUGACGCAAGUCUUAUUCGUUUGCAAAAAUAUGGUUGUACAAGAUGGAUGCGAACUCCGAAAACAAAAUUUGGGACAACUGCUAGCAUUCAACGAGAACGAAUAUGAAGACAACAUACCUGCCGAUGUACUAGAAUUCCUCAGUUGUAUCAAGAAAACCAAAAUUAAAACUGCUAUGUAAGAUCUCCAGAUAUUUGUGCAGAUUGAUUAUGUAAGCUACUCUGGAAACUUGGUGCUAACUUCCAUUUUCUCUCAACAGGACAUGUGCUAUUUAUGAAAAUGAGCUUCUCUACUACUGGCUGGCAGCCCGUGAUGGUGGUUUUAGAUAUGAAGCUAAGGAAAGCGUGCCUCAUAAUUCAUUGGAUGGCCAAUUAGAUAUUGGUGGCUGUAAAUGACAUGAGUAUUUAGCUUUAAUAAAAUCUACUCCCUCCGUCCCAUAAUAUAAGAACAUUUUUGCUUGAAAAACGUUCUUGUAUUAUGGGAUGAAGGGAGUAGAUAUGUACUCUUGUGGAUGAGGCUGGUACUAAAUGUGCAUUGAAUUUACCAGCAUUGGUUAAUAUUGGUUUUACUGUCGACAUUGCAUAGUGAGUUUAUAUAAUUGAUACAAGUGAAGACAUAUUUUACAA